CUCACGGGCCAAGCUGGCCAGAGCUCCAAUCCCUUAUCACAGUGACCAAACUACAUAGAGAAAAAGAGGCAUGAAAACAAGGACUCUUACAAGACUUGCCAAAUGUUAGGCUGAACAAGUGAAAUAGCCAUUUUUAUGGGUUACAAAACAGUUAGACAUCAGUAACGGCAUUGAGUUCCACCUAAUUUGAACCAACGGGAAAGGUCAAUACUUAAUUGGAUUAAAAGAAGAAACACCUGGAGAUAAAAUAGCUAACAGAGGAAACAACAACAGCAAAAACACUUUCAAUAAGUAAAAUUAAUAUCAGAGAGGAUCAAGAGGUUAUUACACUCCUAGAAAAGAGUGAAAAAGCAAGUUCCAGAGGAGUACAGACAG
rnacentral:lncRNA from 1 species